rnacentral:rRNA from 1 species
AUGAACGCUGGCGGCGUGCCUAAUACCUGCCAGUCGAGCGAACAGACGAGGAGCUUGCUCCUCUGACGUUAGCGGCGGACGGGUGAGUAACACGUGGAUAACCUACCUAUAAGACUGGGAUAACUUCGGGAAACCGGAGCUAAUACCGGAUAAUAUAUUGAACCGCAUGGUUCAAUAGUGAAAGACGGUUUUGCUGUCACUUAUAGAUGGAUCCGCGCCGCAUUAGCUAGUUGGUAAGGUAACGGCUUACCAAGGCAACGAUGCGUAGCCGACCUGAGAGGGUGAUCGGCCACACUGGAACUGAGACACGGUCCAGACUCCUACGGGAGGCAGCAGUAGGGAAUCUUCCGCAAUGGGCGAAAGCCUGACGGAGCAACGCCGCGUGAGUGAUGAAGGUCUUCGGAUCGUAAAACUCUGUUAUUAGGGAAGAACAAAUGUGUAAGUAACUAUGCACGUCUUGACGGUACCUAAUCAGAAAGCCACGGCUAACUACGUG